rnacentral:lncRNA from 1 species
CAAUUAACUGUUCCAAGGAAAAGUUUUUACAUAGUUAUGGCAGAGCUCCUAGCUGCCAUUCAAAAUGACGGCUCAUCCAGACACCAGAUCACCAGCAAAUAAGGGAGGGGACAGGGAAUCUCACCAUGGAAUGGGCUUGGAGCAGUGCAAAAGCUGGCAAGGUCCUGGCCACUUGUGAGCAUGGCUUUGCUAGGAGAAGUGCAGAAAAAGGCUCUCAAAGAGGUUUAUCUAUCAAGGAUCAGCCGUGGCAUGAUUCCCACGCACUGGAAUCCAUUUCCCUGGCUUCUGAAUGUGAUCUGUGACUCGGCUUUCGCUGGAUAAAGUGCCAAGCUGCAUUCUAGGAAACACUCAAGAUCAGGAAUCACCAAGCACUGUGUGCCCUUCAGUAUGGCUUCACAUUCUUUUCCCACUAAGGACAUAAAACAAAAACAAGAACCCACACAGGGCAAACUUUGUAAAUUGCAUUAUAAAACCAAUGUCUGCUUUGUGAGCACAUAUGAAUUUUGCUGCCUGUUGGAAUUAAACCACAUAAAUGUUCCUUGCAAAUUUAAUGUCUGAUGUGACUGCACAUUUUAGUUUUCCCGGGAAAGGUGCGAUACAGAACUAUUGUACUGACAUAAUUAUCAUACAACUAACCUUCUACUCUCAAACAUUGGAGUAAAUAUCAAACUACAAGGUUUGUUCUAGCAUGAGGAGGAGAAUCAGAGCAGUGUGUUGAAGUUCCUCCUCCUGGGGCUCCCUAUCAGACCAGAGCAGCAGAACAUCUUCUUCACCCUGUUCCUGGCCAUGUCCUUGGGAACCUGCUCAUCAUCCUGCUCAUCAGGCUGGACUCUCACCUCCACACCCUCAUGUACUUCUUCCUCAGAUACUUAGACUUCACAGACAUCUCUUUCUCAUCAGUCACUGUCCAAGAGAUGCUCAGGACCAUUCAGACUCAGCACCUAAGUGUUCCUUAUGAGGGGUGCUUCCCCAAUGUACUUUUUCUUACUUUUUGUAUAUGUUGGCAAUUUGCUUCUUGGAGUGAUGGCCUUAUGACAGCAGGUAUGUGGCCAUCUUCCACCCACCAUACUUCACCAUUAUAAUGAGGGAGGAGCUGUGUGUGGCUGGGUUGAUUCACUUCUUGUGUGCAUGCCUGUUGCAUAUUCCAUCCUGUCCCAUCCAUACCUCACCUGUCCUAUGAUCUCAAUAAGCCCUUGAAGUUGUCCUGCUUAGACACCUAUUUCAAUGAGUUAGUGAUCUUCACUGAGGGAGGAGUGUUGACUCUCCUGCCCUGGGUACCAUUUUGGGUUGUUAUGUCUGCCCUGGGGGUACUGUACUAAGGGGCACCUCCACUAAGAAGACUUGCAAAGUUCUACCCACUUGUGGCUCCCCACCUCUUCCUAGCAAUUUUACACCACAGGACUCUUGCAAUUAUUUAUUUCUUUCCUUCCUCAAACAGCUCCUAAUUUAGGGAUACAAUUGUUUCAGUUAUGCAUGCAAUGGUGACACCCAUGCUGAACCCCAGGAAUGGAGAUGUGAAAUUGACUCUGGUACUGCUUUUGACAAGUGAGAGUUAUACAUUCAAGUUCUCUUUUCCCCCCUUUUCAUCAUUUACAUAAUUAGUUAUUCUAGUAUUUUGUGCAGUGCAUUGCAAUCCUCCUAACUAACUCCUCACAUAGUAUUCUGAAGAUAAACUUGGUGAAUUUUCAGUCUUUUAAUAAGUUAUUUUGUUCUUGUAUUGAGAAUAGAUAUUUUUCUUUUUUUGAUGCAAAC